rnacentral:rRNA from 1 species
AGGUGUUGCAUGGCUGUCGUCAGCUCGUGUCGUGAGAUGUUCGGUUAAGUCCGCUAACGAGCGCAACCCUCGCCGUAUGUUACAAGUGUCAUACGGAACUGCCGGUAAAAAGCCGGAGGAAGGUGAGGAUGAUGUCAAGUCAGCAUGACCUUUAUAUCCAGGGCUACACACACGCUACAAUGGUCUGUACAAUUGGUUGCCAAGCCGCGAGGCGGAGCCAAUCCGUAAAGCAGGCCUCAGUUCAGAUUGCAGUCUGCAACUCGACUGCAUGAAGUCGGAGUUGCUAGUAAACGCAGGUCAGCUAUACUGCGUUGAAUACGUUCCCGGGGCUU